rnacentral:siRNA from 1 species
GAACAGGGUUUGAAUGUAGGGCGC